AUUGAACGCUGGCGGCAGGCCUAACACAUGCAAGUCGAGCGGAUGAGUGGAGCUUGCUCCAUGAUUCAGCGGCGGACGGGUGAGUAAUGCCUAGGAAUCUGCCUGGUAGUGGGGGACAACGUUUCGAAAGGAACGCUAAUACCGCAUACGUCCUACGGGAGAAAGCAGGGGACCUUCGGGCCUUGCGCUAUCAGAUGAGCCUAGGUCGGAUUAGCUAGUAGGUGAGGUAAUGGCUCACCUAGGCGACGAUCCGUAACUGGUCUGAGAGGAUGAUCAGUCACACUGGAACUGAGACACGGUCCAGACUCCUACGGGAGGCAGCAGUGGGGAAUAUUGGACAAUGGGCGAAAGCCUGAUCCAGCCAUGCCGCGUGUGUGAAGAAGGUCUUCGGAUCGUAAAGCACUUUAAGUUGGGAGGAAGGGCAGUAAGUUAAUACCUUGCUGUUUUGACGUUACCAACAGAAUAAGCACCGGCUAACUUCGUGCCAGCAGCCGCGGUAAAAC
rnacentral:rRNA from 1 species